AACUUUCAGAAAAAUGGGUUUUUUUUUAAAUGACAUUUUCUACGAAUAUGUGUUAUAUCAUGUAGAUUGCGAAUAUACAAACUUUUGAGGGGAAAAUGAUUUC